GUUUUGCGUUAGGGAUUGUAAAGGAAAUCCUUUUUAUGAGGAACGAAUAAAAAGAUUGUAUUGAAAAGCCCGACCCUUU
rfam:Flaviramulus basaltis strain DSM 18180 genome assembly, contig: Ga0104527_103